GAUGAAGAACGUAGUGAAAUGCGAUAAGUAAUGUGAAUUGCAGAAUUCAGUGAAUCAUCGAAUCUUUGAACGCACAUUGCGCCCCCUGGUAUUCCGGGGGGCAUGCCUGUCCGAGCGUCAUUACAACCCUCAAGCUCAGCUUGGUGUUGGGCCCCGCCGCCCCGGCGGGCCCUAAAGUCAGUGGCGGUGCCGUCCGGCUCCGAGCGUAGUAAUUCUUCUCGCUCUGGAGGUCCGGUCGUGUGCUCGCCAGCAACCCCCAAUUUUUUUCAGGUUGACCUCGGAUCAGGUAGGGAUACCCGCUGAACGUAAGCAUAUCAAUAAGCGGAGGA
rnacentral:misc_RNA from 1 species